CUACAACAUUUACAAAUAUGAUUACGGACCUGUUAGGCACAGAACAGAAGAAGAGCGUUUGAGGCAUCUUGCCUAUCGCAGCUUUGUAAGCUGGUGCUGGGGUUACUUAGGACCUAGUCGUCGGGUCAUCAUCCCGUCAUGUGUGGUGCAGUGGAUACGGCAGCAGUUCCCGUCUGGUGAUUACAUAGGCUUCAGACCACCUAUUGAUUGAAGCGGGAGACGUGACGGGCAACCAGCUCAGCCUUUGGAGUUUUCGGGAAUUCUGCUGAGAGGUCUGGAGGGAUGGGGAUGGUCUUCAAUUCCUCUGCAAAAGAUGCUUCACAAUGCCUUCCCCCCUCUUCGCCUUUGGAAAAACAACCUUGAAAACGGCCUGUCCUGUAGAUGUUGUGGCUU